ensembl:snoRNA small nucleolar RNA SNORD60
AGCCGAUGAUGAGCUCUUAAUUUUCUGACACCUCGUAUGAAAACUGGUUGCAGUUUACUGAUUACGAGCACGAGCUGAGGCUU